GAUGAACGCUGGCGGCGUGCCUAAUACAUGCAAGUCGAGCGAACAGACGAGGAGCUUGCUCCUCUGACGUUAACGGCUGAGGGGUUAGUAAUACGUGGAUAAUCUACCUAUAAGACUGGGAUUACUUCGGUAAACCGGAGCUAAUACCGGAUAAUAUAUUCAACCGCAUGGUUCAAUAUGGAAAGACGGUUUUGCUGUCACUUAUCGUUCGAUACCCGCCGCAUUGACUAGUUGUUAAGGUAACGGCUUACCCAGGCAACGAUGCGUAGCCGACCUGAGGGGGUGAUCGGACACACUGGAACUGAGACUCAUUACAGACUCCGACGGUAGGACACAGUCGGGACUCCUACGCGAUGGGGCAGAGCGGGACGGAACAAAGCCGCGUGAAUGAUGAUGGUCUUAUGAUCGUAAAGCUAUGUUAGUCGGGAAGAAGAAAUGUGUAAGUAACUAUGCACGUAUUGACGGUACCUGAUCAGAAAGCCACGGCUAACUACGUG
rnacentral:rRNA from 1 species